ensembl:rRNA 5S_rRNA 5S ribosomal RNA
CACCCGAUCUCACCUGAUCUCGGAAG